UACGUAGGGUGCGAGCGUUAAUCGGAAUUACUGGGCGUAAAGCGUGCGCAGGCGGUUUUGUAAGUCUGACGUGAAAUCCCCGGGCUUAACCUGGGAAUUGCGUUGGAGACUGCAAGGCUGGAGUCUGGCAGAGGGGGGUAGAAUUCCACGUGUAGCAGUGAAAUGCGUAGCGAUGUGGAGGAACACCAGUGGCGAAGGCGGCCAACUGGCCCGAUACUGACGCUCAUGUGCGAAAGCGUGGGGAGCAAACAGG
rnacentral:rRNA from 1 species